rnacentral:rRNA from 1 species
AUGGUGGGCACGUGCAACGGCCUGCUCUGCUUCCUCGACCUCCGCCAGGGGGGCAUCAGGGUGGUAGAGCCCUUCACCGGCGAAUCGCUUGUCCUGCCGUCGCCGCAGAGGCGGCUGUGGCACGCUCGUGGCGCCUACAGCUUUGGCUUCGACCCCAGUUCGAGGAGGUACAAGAUUUUGCACCACGAGAAAGAUGCUUACAUGUACACGAUCGGGGGAGGCGAGAAUUGGAGGAGAGCGCAUGGGGCCACCGUGUCGUACAGCGGCGUAUUCGCUGACGGAUCAGUCUGGUCAGUUGCUACGAAUCGGCGGCAGCUCAGAAAGGUCGUACGCUUCGAUCUGGCGACGGAGAAGAUCACCUCGGAGCCCAUCGAAUGGGCUGGCUUGGGUACAGCUCUGUCAACGGUGUCGGACGCGCGGGUGUUCUUGAUGGGCUUAGGGGGGGCCGGGGAGAUGGAGGUGUUCUCCAUGGGAGACGGCGGCCGCUGGGCGCGAUAUAGCAUCUUCGUGAGGGCGCCUCCCAUGCGGUUUCCCGCGGUGCCGGAUCCCCUGCAACGGGGGCACGUGCUGCUGCUGGACCGUAACAGGGGUUCACGCGGUGGCGUGUACGUUCAUCCGAUUGCACCGGGGAGCAAUGAUCUGGGCUCCGGGAAGCUGCUACUUCAGAUGCCGAAGGACCGGCCGCAAGCUGACGAGACACCCAGAUGCGAUAAUACGCGAUGGCUGUUUGUACCGGUCCCGCAUGAGGAGGAGACGGCGGCCAGAGUAAGACGAGUCCCACAUGAACAGGGCUCUCCAAGGGUGUUCUCCUACGCCCCACCAGUGUCUAUUUUCAAGAAAGCAAAAAAUGCCCCAGAGCUACUUUGA